UGGGGAAUUUUGGACAAUGGGGGCAACCCCUGAUCCAGCCAUCCCGCGUGUGCGAUGAAGGCCUUCGGGUUGUAAGCACUUUUGGCAGGGAAGAAACAGCCUGGGAUAAUACCCCCGGGCGACUGACGGUACCUGCAGAAUAAGCACCGGCUAACUACGUGCCAGCAGCCGCGGUAAUACGUAGGGUGCAAGCGUUAAUCGGAAUACUGGGCGUAAAGCGUGCGCAGGCGGUUCGGAAAGAAAGGUGUGAAAUCCCAGGGCUUAACCUUGGAACUGCACUUUUAACUACCGACUAGAGUACGUCAGAGGGGGGUAGAAUUCCACGUGUAGCAGUGAAAUGCGUAGAGAUGUGGAGGAAUACCGAUGGCGAAGGCAGCCCCCUGGGAUGAUACUGACGCUCAUGCACGAAAGCGUGGGGAGCAAACAGGAUUAGAUACCCUGGUAGUCCACG
rnacentral:rRNA from 1 species